rnacentral:misc_RNA from 1 species
AAGUCGUAACAAGGUAACCGUAGGUGAACCUGCGGUUGGAUCAUUAAUAAAAAGAUAAAGAUUACUGGGUUUAUACCCGGUAAUUUUUAUAAACCUUUUGUGAACAGUAAUUGUAUCUGGGGUGAGAGGGAUUAAUUUCUUUUCACCCCAUCAAUAUUUUGAACUUUUAUAUAUUUAUAUUAAAUCAAUAUUAUUUUAAAUAUUAAAAAAACAACUUUUGACAACGGAUCUCUAGGCUCUC